GGCGGUGAUGAGCUGAAGUAUAGUCUGACCUGGUAUUGCUAAUCCCCUCCUGGGGAACUGCACUGACCAGGGCAUGAUCACUGUAAUCUUCUCUCUGAGCCU
rnacentral:snoRNA from 1 species